rnacentral:lncRNA from 1 species
GUUCAAUACAGAAAUACAAUAUACAAAGAACAGAGAACAAACUCCAAAAAUGAAACGAGAGCCACUGAAAGACAUUACCAACGUGCAAACGGUUAAGAAAAUGACCCAACAGAACACCAAUAAUGGGCAACCAGCCCGCAGAUGCUUCGAGAUCUUUAGAGGAUCUAACUGAUGGGCGGACCAGAGAGUGAGUGUCAGAGAGGAGUCCGAAUAGUAUUAUCAUGUUCAUGGUUAUUUUGGAAAUCUUCAGAACUCACACAGAAUAGAGAAACACACAAAAGACACAAUCUUAAACCGCAAGAAAUAAACGACGAAUUUAAUUGUUAUUGGG